rnacentral:rRNA from 1 species
UACGUAGGGGGCGAGCGUUGUCCGAAGUUACUGGGCGUAAAGCGCGCGUAGGCGGUCAUUUAAGUUCGGGGUGAAAGGUUCAGUGCUCAACGCGAACAGUGCCUUGAAUACUGGGUGACUUGAGUUCGGGAGAGGGCAGUGGAAUUCCUGGUGUAGCGGUGAAAUGCGUAGAUAUCAGGAGGAACACCGAUGGCGAAGGCAGCUGCCUGGCCUAGAACUGACGCUGGAGGUGACGAAAGCGUGGGGAGCGAACAGG